rnacentral:rRNA from 1 species
UANACACAUGCAAGUCGAACGGCAGCACGGACUUCGGUCUGGUGGCGAGUGGCGAACGGGUGAGUAAUACAUCGGAACGUGCCUAGUAGUGGGGGAUAACUACUCCAAAGAGUGGCUAAUACCGCAUGAGAUCUACGGAUGAAAGCAGGGGAUCGCAAGACCUUGUGCUACUAGAGCGGCUGAUGGCAGAUUAGGUAUUUGGUGGGAUAAAAGCUUACCAAGCCCACGAUCUGUAUCUGGUCUGAGAGGACGAUCAGCCACACUGGGACUGAGACACGGCCCAGACUCCUACGGGAGGCAGCAGUGGGGAAUUUUGGACAAUGGGCGCGAGCCUGAUCCAGCAAUGCCGCGUGCAGGAUGAAGGCCUUCGGGUUGUAAACUGCUUUUGUACGGAACGAAAAGCUUUGGGCUAAUACCCUGGACUCAUGACGGUACCGUAAGAAUAAGCACCGGCUAACUACGUGCC